rnacentral:rRNA from 1 species
CCAAUAGCGUAUAUUAAAGUUGUUGCAGUUAAAAAGCUCGUAGUUGAAUUUCGGGAUUAAUAUGUUGGUCGUGCCUUGGUACGUACUGGCAUUAUUGAUUCCUACCUUCUGAAGAACCUCGAUGUCAUUAAUUUGGUGUCUUGGGGAAUCAGGACCGUUACUUUGAAAAAAUUAGAGUGUUUAAAGCAGGCUCACGCUUGAAUACAUUAGCAUGGAAUAAUGAAAUAGGACGUUUGAUUCUAUUUUGUUGGUUUCUAGGAUCGACGUAAUGAUUAAUAGGGAUAGUUGGGGGCAUUAGUAUUCAAUUGUCAGAGGUGAAAUUCUUGUAUUUAUUGAAGACUGACUACUGCGAAAGCAUUUGCCAAGGAUGUUUUCAUUAAUCAAGAACGAAAGUUAGGGGAUCGAAGACGAUCAGAUACCGUCGUAGUCUUAACCAUAAACUAUGCCGACUAGGGAUCGGAUGAUGUUAAUUUUUUAAUGACUCAUUCGGCGCCUUACG